rnacentral:lncRNA from 1 species
GCCUCACUCACCGGAGCCGGCCACCACUAGCAGCCUGAGGGGAGGCGUCCGCCGGUCGUGGCGUCUCCUCGCCAGGAGCACAAAGGGGACGAGCAGCAAGGGCGGCAGCAGCAGCAGGAGGAAGAAGGCCCCGGUGCUGCCCGGCGGCGGGAACCACGGCUGCAUGGCGCAGCCCGACCGCCCGCCGCUCCGCGCGGAAGCGCCUCGCGGCAGACGGCGGCCGACGCGGCCCAAACCUCCCCGCGGCCGCACGAGAGCCGGGGGCAGCAGGGCGCCGAGGGGCUGAGGCGGAGCGGGGCCGGGUGCCGGCGUGGGCGGUGCUUGCGCGCGGCAGGGGCUGCCCCGGCACCGCCGGACCGCGGGAGCGGACAGCGAUGCGCGCAGUCCCGCGCCCGUCCUCAGCGUGCGCCGCGCUCGCGCCUGCAUGGCUCGGGAGCCGCGUGCCGCGUACCGCUGCCCAGCCUCUGACGCGCGCGGAGCGCAGGCCGGCCGGCACGCAGGAGUAGGCUUUGUCCAGGUAUGUACGCACAGGCGGAACUGGCGCUCGCAUAGCGUGCGUGAAGUAGGAGUAGUAAUGUUUUACUGCCGCUCGCGGAUCUCGGUUUGAUUUGUUCAAAUCCCUGUAUUUUUGUAAGAAGCGUGCGGCACCAGAUCUGCAUUCUUCCCAUCUCUGCAGCGUCAGCACUGUGGGGAACGUUGCGAUGGCUCAGUAUAGGACUGAGGCGAGGGUUACUGUAGUUGAUAAAGCGAGGAUUGCAUUUGGCGAUUAGGGAAGAGGCACCUCUAACAGAGCCAUCCUUCAGCCUAGCAGGUAGGAUGAGAGCACUCCACUUGGUGCGGUCCGACACCACGGCUUUGUGGGCGGCGUGUCAGACAUGUGCCCGUAGCGGCUGUGUGCUCCCAGCUCUCACCUCGAGAGACACAGGAGGUCCAGCGCUGCAGUGUUAGCCUCGCAAGCUGGACAGUUCUCUCUCAUUUGUCACAAAAACGUGUGCCAGCCAUGGGCUCGAGUAACUGCUGCGUCAUUUACAAAUAAGGUGUGUGCUUGCCAGCUACCAACUGCCAGUGUAGGAGCCGAGUGAAUCCUCCUGACUCAUGUCCAGCAGUCCUUCAUGCUAUGUGUUGCCCUUUCCUACAUCAGUGUAACGUGUAAUUAGGCAGUUGUCUGAAGCAGACUAUUAAAGGUAUUGCCAUAGAAUGGUUUUUCACUCAGAUGAGUAACUUGCUUGUAGACAGCCUCACAAAAGCAAUUGCUACUUAAUCAUCACUGACAUUUGGAAACAGCAAGGCUUUAAUUAAUAGUUCUGUUGUGAUGCAUAAAUCUCAAAAAUUAUUUUGCUUUCCACUUCAUUAGCUUCAUAAAACUAAUAAUUAGGAACAAUAGAGAUACAUGACCUUAAAUCACAGAAGAAAGGAAGAAAACACUAUGGUCCUCUUUUGGAAAAUAACUACUAUGUUAAAACAAGUUAGUAAGUUCUACAGGCAAUUUAAUUCUAAUUUUGUCUGUUUUGAUAUCUUUCUCCUCUUACAUUUUUUUAGUGAAAAUAAUGUCCUUAAUGUAAAACAUAUCCCGGAUUACUACAGGGAGUGUAGACAGCAACUGUUUUUACUUAAUAACUUCUUUUUCCAGGGCUUUUCUUACAGCUUCCCUUUGCUCUAUUUUUUUUUUUUUUCCUACUGUAAGAAGUGCUAAGGAACUGCCAUUUGGGCUUUGUAUUCAGAAAAACAGUCUUGAAAUCUUGGCAGCAGAAAGUAAUAUGAAAAACUUGAAAAACUUAUUUUCAUCUUUUUGUAGUAUUUCCCCUGUAUAUGUAUACUCCUUUCUAUGCUGAAUACCUCUGUGAGGAAGUUUUGGUGAAAUUCAUUAAAACCUGUUGUAAGCCCUGUAAAAUUGGAAGAUUUAUGUGUUUGGUUGGUUGGUUGGUUGAGCAAGUUGUUUAGAAACAAGAGGAAAAGGUAAGAGUGAUACAUACCUGUUCCUUGAUUAGGAAACCGAGGAUCUGAUGAUUUCUUGGAUACAAAGCAAAGAUGCUGGGUUUCAGGGAGUCUGGAAAGGUAACCAUAAGCUCCUAGGACAAGUGCUGGAAAUCUUAGUCAUUGGGAAUUCUGCUUGAAUAUCAGAUAUAGCUUUCAAGUAGCACAUGCUACAACCGAUUGCAAAGCUUGAGGGAAGAGUUAGAGUUUGGUGAGGCUGCUUUAAAUGACUGUUUAAAGACAACAGACAAUCUGCAACCUGCAAACCUAAAGCUUUCAGAUGUUUUAUUCUAUUCUUUUUGAAAGCUUAGUAGAGCGAGCCUGUAAAGAUGUCAUCUGCAGUGUAACACUGCUAAUUAUGUCUUUUGUUUUUCAGUAGGAGUUUUUUUUUUAUUGUUUUCAGUGUGUUUGUGUUCUUUCAUAUCACAGCAACUCCCUGCUUACAGGCAGUGUCCUGGAGCAGGAAAAUAGCAGACUCAGUCCUGUAGGAGUUAAGUAGCUCAAUAGAUGGAGCGGGCAGGUUGCUCUCCAUUUGGCUGUGCUGCACGUGCAGUCAUCAGUUCCCACCUGUCCAAGUGCCUUGAGAAUGCUUUGUCUCAGCAUUGGACAUGUAUAGGAAAGUUAAUAAUAGAAAGCAGCAACUGUCCUGGAGAUUAGCAUAUUGUGGUCACAUUGACAACUUGUGUUGUUCAGAAAACAUUUUGCUUUCGGUGCCUUCCUAGAUAAAUAUUUUUUAAAUUCCUUGUCCAUUUGUUGAGGUUUGUUCAGGUUGUUCAGUCUACAAUUUUUACUCCAAAGUAACUUACAGGUAGGGUAAGUAGAUGAGGAGAUUCUGGACAAAAUCUCCAUAUAGCAUUCCUAGAGUUUAAUGAUAUUACAUUACAACAAAAAUUCUCGGACUAGAAGGCUUGCUCAGGAGAUUCUUGCCAGCCCCAGGGGACGUGUACCACACAUACUUCCUGAACCUGCUUUCUUAAAUGUGGUCAUUUCGCUGUGUUCUGCCUUAGAAUAGAGCUCCACAGACAUCUCCGUAAUUGUGGGGUAAACUACCAGAACAGUUCGAGGUUGGGUGAGGAAAAGGGCAGGAACCUGUCAGCCAGGCUUUGCCACUGGAAAGACUUCCCUGUGGGACAGUUUAUCGUGUUAAACCUCAGUCAUGUUAUACAUCUAAAUAUUCUCAGUUUCUGCAGGAUAGUUCUGUAUGUGAAGUGAUUUGGAAGACAAAAUGUUCUAUAAGUGAGCAAUUUCUGCAGAAAACUUUUUUUUUUUACGUGCUUCCAAUGUUAUUUAGAAACAUAAGGAGAAGUGAUACUGUGUUCUCUGGUUAGAGAAAAAACUUCUGACUGGGUUCCUAGUUAUUCUUUUCUCAUACUAGAACUGUAGAGCUGUAUCUGGAAGAUUUUAGUGCAAUACCAGCAUCAUGAAUGCUGUGACAAAUUCUGCUGUUGGGAACAGAAGGGAUGUUAAGUUUGUGAACUAGAGUGCUGUGCACCAGCUGGGGACAAGGUGGAGCAGGCAGCUGGUCGGUGUCCAAGUGAGAGGUGACCUCACGUGAUGGCAGCACGAGGGUUUAUCAGAGUCAGUCUGGCAAAAUUCAUCCCUUUUAGCUGCACUUACUUCCAAUUCCUUUAUUUGAACGAGGUUUACUUUUACUUUUUUGUGAGUCAGAAACUUAAAAAGAUGCUAUCACUGCAAUUAUAGUAACUCAAUCUUAGGAGCCCUGGUUAGUAUUUGGGAUCAAUAAUAUCUGUAAUAUUUAUGUUCACAAUACAGUUAGUGCCGCGCUUCCUGGCAUAACAGCACUUCUCAUAUAUAUUUAAGAUGUUUCUCAUUUGUUUAAACACAAAGAAAAAACUUUUCAAGUACUUGAACAGUGCUUGACCCCACUGGCUGAAAAGAUGGAACAAAAUCUCUCAAAUAAUGAGAUUAAUUCUCUGUUAAAAUUGUCUUCUUUCUCCCAUUCAUGUUUGCCAUUCUUUCCAUUUUAAUUUCCAGUAGUGUGCUCUGGUGUCUAACGCUGCCAUAGGUGACAGACAACAAGUGGUUGUUAGCUUACAACAGCUAAAUAAGGAAGGUCUCCUUCCCUCCAGCUGCCUACAGAUUUUACGUUUCCCUAGAAAUAUCCAGAUUUCCCUUUCUGACUGUGACAAAUCUCUGUAUGUAGUCUGUGGGAAUGGGUGGGAGGGAAGAGGCUGCUUAUGGAAGUCUCUGUGGGCCUAAGUACCACCUAUGAAUUUUCAAUCAAAGUAGCAACUUGUAGGGGAAAAGUUUUCCUGUGAUGGGCACGAGGUACACUGCUACCAGAUGUUCUGUCAGCCCCGUCUGACAGCACACCAGAGAGCUGGUCCCAUUGCUCUAAUGACCCCAUAUUUGGUAGCAGUGCGAAUGCGUUCUGAGCGUGGUUUUAGGAAGCAUGAACAUUGAUAGUAUACAGCACCAAAAUUGCAUACUGCAACUUGCCCUGAUUACUGGUUAGUAUGCUUAGGGAGUGGUCCUGCAAUGUAAUGUAAACUCGUGUUCUUUGAUCUAUUAAAAGUGUUGGGAGAAAGAGACUAUUGUUUCACAGCUCAGAAGUACUGAGCAGCCUGGAGGUCAUCGGGUGCCUCUGGCUGCUCAGCCUGGAGAAAUAAGCCCCCCCACCCACCCCUUUCUUGUUUGGAUAUAUUUAUAUUUCUAAAAGUAAGUUUGGAGCCUGAUAAUACCUUCCUGGAAAUCUGUUUUCAAGUCCACUUAUAAUGUAAAAAGGAAUUUUCAGCAUUUUCAUUCAGGUGAGGUUGUAGGAUUCUCUUCCCGUUUCCCACUUCACUAUGACUGGUGAGUUCCCAUGGAUUUGUGAGCAGAAUGUGGGGGCACACAUUUGCUUUGCUUUCUCUGGAUCCCUGCUGCCAGGAGAAAAUUGGCCAUUGCUAAUGCUGCUGGUGGAGGGAGACAGCCUUACCCAUGACCUCAUCCAUCAGCUUGCAUCAGCACAUUUCUCAUCCUCUCAGGCUGGAAAUCUCAGGCUUGGGUGAUGCUGAUGGCAUCUCAGGUCUGUCUGUAGGUUCCAGUACUCUGCCCUCAGCAUGUUCAGGCUGUAGAAAAAUGCCUCUCACCCUUUUAUGCUCUCUCCAUCCCCUGCUUAUGAAGAUAUGAAAUGUAAUGCCCUCCACAGUAAAGAUGGGUUCCUGAGGUGAAAGAGGAAAGGUUUUUGAGCUGUUUAGAUUUCUGAAGAUCUGCACUGAAUUAGCAAAAUGCUGGAGCUGGAGAAAAAAAUGGUCAUAUGAAGAAGGAAGAUGUGCACUGGGUUUUGUUCUGUGCUGUAUUUAGUUCUUGUUUCUCUCCCUCCCCUUUUCGUUGUGUCUUUACAGUUAUACUUUAAAAUGUCAUUUAUUGACAGUUGUUUUGGGGAUGCUGCCAGGUAUGGCUGGAGGUCUGGGGAUUGGUCCAGAUCCUGUUAAAGGCAAUUUAGUGUCAUGGCUCCAUGAGCUCUCCAUGGAAAUUGAAUUCUUUGUAGAUUUACAAAGACUGGUCAAGUUAUUUUAGUUUGUACAAGUCUGCAUUGAUGUUGUAAGAGAAUAUAUUAAAAAUUUGGAAUCUGCCAUUCCUUCUAUUGCUUUUUUCUGUUUUCUUACAAACAUGUAAGAUGUGAAGUCCAGCAAACUAUUAAUGAAAAGUUCUCACAGUUAACAAUCUGGAUAGAACCAAAUAACUUGCCUUCUGCACGACGCUAAGUCUUCAAUUAUGUGAUCAAUACACCAUUUAAAAACAGGUAAUCUUCAUUCUUUUUUUCCAUCAACCUCAGGUGAUGCAUAAUGCUCUUCUCUCAAUAAAUAAAUGAGUUGGGAAAUUAUGCACAAUUUGCAUCAACUGUUGUGAAUUUAAUGCACGUGCCAAUGAGGGUUGGUCUGUUCCUGUUGGUGAGAAUUAAACAAUGAUAAUGAGACAAUUGCUUAGAGCUAAGAAAUUACGUUAAGUAUGUCGCUGACUGAGUAUUAACGUAUGACUGAAAAGAAUAACGACUUAUGCUUGUGAAGACACUCAGGAGAUGUCACGGGAGCUCCUGAUUUACUAAUGCUGGAUUAAAGACAAGUAAAAAAACCAGAAUUUCAAAAUAGAGAUCUUGCAUGUGAUUUCAUAUUGUUUGAAAAACACUUUGAAGACAAAUCACGUUUUCUUUUCUUCUGGACCUUUGUGUCUGAAGACUGGUUUGAUGGAGAUCCCAGCAGUUUUUACACAGAAAUUAGCCAUGCCAAGACUGUGUCUGCAUACCGAAAUAUUUUUGUUUUGCAUCUAAUUGAGAAACCAUCAGGUAAACUGCAAUCGCCUUUCAAAAGUACUGUCUGUGGGAAGAACAGUUUGUUCAAAACGACACGGAGAAGUUACUGGCCCUGGAAUUCCCUUCCCCUGUGUUUGUUUUGGUAGUUAAGAUCAGCACCAGGAGAAGCCGUGAUUCUGGCAACUUCCCCAGCAUUGAUGGGGAAUGUGUUCUCUUCCAGAUUAUUUUUUAUUGUUGCAGUAUGCAGGAAUUGUUGGGACAGGUGCUGUACAAAAGUAAGAUGUCCCUGUUUUAAGGAGAUAUAAUUUUUGUUUAUUUAAAGAAAAACUAAUUAUGCAAAGAGCAGUGUGUUGCCUGGCUUCUUGUAUUUUCUUUAGGACAACCUGACAAGUAAGUGUUUGUUUAGUGCCCAGACUGCCUACAUUUGUGAUGAUCAGAUGUGCUGAGUUCUGAACAUGGUGCACUUGCUGCACGGUGAGCCUGCUGCAUGCAGUGGGUCCAACGCUCGCUGUGUGCGCGUGGAGUGCAGCGUGACCACAACAUCCCUGACCUGUGUGUGGCACAAUGCACGUGUGGGCCUUGGGGCUGGAACAUCUGUCCUUGUACACACGGCCUGCUGCCCAAGACAGCUUGGAUGUGAAGGCUCUUACUGUCAGUGGGAUGCUCUUGUUUCUGCUGGGCAGAGUUUCCACAUAGAAAAAGAAGACAUUGCCAGAGGAACUCCAGAUGUGUAACACUCGUAACUCUGCAAAUCAAAUGAACAAGUGCUGAAAUGUAGCUUCUUUGUGAAGAUCCAGUAGUAUUAUUGUAUCAAAGUGUGUAUGUGCUCAAUAAAACAAGAAUAAACGUACAAUGCUGGACAAGAAACAGUGGUGUUGUAAUUGGUGAAUAUUUCCAGAAAAAUGGCUUUGUAUACAAUAAUUACACAGUAUAUUUGGUGCAAUUCACAAAGAGACUUUUCAAACUCAUUUACAAUGUUUACAUGUUAUGUUUUUACGUUGAAACUUCCACCUUAGCUUUACUUAUACAUAUUACAUAGACAAUUAGAUUAUUUUUCCUGUUUUCUUAACUCAUUGUUUAUUAUCUUUGUGUUUUAUAUUCAGUUUCUUUCCUAAUAUUUGUAGAUAUUUGAGUAAGUCAAUCAGAGUGAGUGCUGUUUGUCAGUAAAAAUGUUUAUGGUGUUUGAAUAGUGUUGGUGGAAAUGGAAGCCCAAAAAACUUUCCCCACUGGGUCUGAAAGGGAAGCUUUAGUUCUGUGUUUCAGCAUGAAAUGAUGUAAAUCCAGUGUUUCUUCUCUUUUUAUAUCUUUCUUACCAGGGCUGCUGUUUAGAUAAGAGAUUUGCAAGUUACAGGACAGCAUGAACUCCUUCACAUGACCGGGACUGCGCAGGGACUUGUUUGAAAUAAUGUGCAGAUCAAGGCUGUAGACAGAAUGAAAAUCUCCAAACCUGCUGGUAGCAAUGGAAACUAAGAAUUAAAUUCUAGGUAAGAAGCUAAUAAUUGGUAAGAAUGCCAAUACAAAUUUGUUUUAAAUAAAUUACAGUGUUAACAAUUCCACAAGCAACAUUUUUGCAAAAAGAUAUUAUCAGCAAAAAUAAAGAGUGGUUCAUUCUAGGGCUUAGAAACAGAUACAUUUAGGACAUAAAGUAUACUUUCUUUAGAAGCAAGGUAUUAUCCCCAUUAAUAUUUACCCCCCAAAAAAAGAAAUUUAAAAGAUUUUGAUAUGUAAGAUAUCAAUUUAAAUAUCAUGUUGCUUUCUGAAAAGUUUACAGCUAUUGCAAAUAUUAUUCAAUAUUGUAUUAGCAAACCAUGUAGAAAAAGAUUUUUUAAAAUUUAUUCAGGAUUUUUAAAAUGGACUUCAAUUGCAUUUAGGCAUAAGUAAUGUGUAUGCAGGAGGUUUUGUUAUUUCUUUGUGCUGCUGAGUAAUUUUCCUUCAUUUCCCCAAGAAUCACAGAUCAACAAAGGGUGGAAAAUUCAGGGAAAAUUGUAGAUAUGCUUUUGUAAAAUCUUAAAAAUUGACCAAAAUAGUCAGGAGGAGCUGUAUCGUCUGACAAAACUAUGUAACAUUUUCAGAUUAAAGAUAUUUUAAUGUCAGAUACAUUGUAAACCAAUCUUUUUGCACCAUGGUGCAUUCUGAAAGAGGCCCAGUUGGAUGUGGGGCAGCUGCUAUGGCGUGUGCCAAAGCUAAGGCGGAUCUAUGUGAGGCUUAGAAGCUGUCUUUAGCAUGCAGAUGAGUAAUACUGUCCCAAGUGUGCAUUCUCCCUCAUUACCUGAUGUGCUGCUUCUGAACAUCUGAUGCUGUCAUGUACAGCAAAAUACCUAGGGUGAACACUUGGUUUUAUUCUCUACUUAAAUUAUGCUAAUUUUAAUUAACAGUCUGCAUAUUAAAGAGGCAUUGCUUUCUGACCCUUUGCAUGUUGAAUAGCUGGGAAAUAAUUUGCUUGGUUGUGGUGCUUCUAGGCUCCAAUUUCAUGCUUUUCAAUCGCAUGCCAUUACAAAGUACAUCUCCCAUUUUCUGCUGUUCUGACAUCACCAAAUUCCAG